UACGUAGGUGGCAAGCGUUGUCCGGAAUUAUUGGGCGUAAAGCGCGCGCAGGCGGUUCCUUAAGUCUGAUGUGAAAGCCCCCGGCUCAACCGGGGAGGGUCAUUGGAAGCUGGGGAACUUGAGUACUGAAGAGGAAAGCGGAAUUCCACGUGUAGCGGUGAAAUGCGUAGAGAUGUGGAGGAACACCAGUGGCGAAGGCGGCUUUCUGGUCAGUAACUGACGCUGAGGCGCGAAAGCGUGGGGAGCAAACAGG
rnacentral:rRNA from 1 species